UCCCUGGGGGUCCAGACGUUAAGACUCUGCCCUUCCAAUGCAGAGGGCACUGGUUCAAUCCCUGUCAGGGAA
rnacentral:tRNA from 1 species